UGCCCCUAGCCGCGCGGCCCUGGGAUGCCCAGGCUCCGCCUGUUGGGGCUCCUCCUCCUCCUCCGCUGUCUCCUCUGGGCUGUGCCUGCUGGGCAGGCGGGCAGGAAGCUGGGCAAGGAUGCUCUGAUGGUCCCGGGUGGGCGACGGCGGCAGUGGGCGGCGGGAGGAUGACCUCUCCUCGGGACCGGGCUGCAGAGCUGGCGCGUUUCUACACGGUUACCGAGCCCCAGCGGCAUCCAAGGGGAUACACGGUGUAUAAGGUGACCGCCCGGAUUGUUUCAAGAAGAAAUCCAGAGGAUGUCCAAGAGAUAAUCGUUUGGAAGAGAUACAGUGAUUUUAAGAAACUGCACAAAGAUCUCUGGCAAAUUCACAAAAACUUAUUCAGACAUACAGAAUUAUUUCCACCUUUUGCUAAAGCAAUAGUCUUUGGGCGAUUUGAUGAAACAGUGAUUGAAGAGAGAAGACAGUGUGCUGAAGAUCUCUUACAGUUCUCUGCCAAUAUCCCAGCUCUUUAUUCUAGCAAACAUCUUGAAGAUUUUUUCAAGGGUGGAGAAAUUCAUGAUGGUUCUGAAUUGAUUGGACCUGCUGAACCUUACACAGAUUCCCUCAUUGACAGUUUUUCUGAUGGUAGUUCUGAAGUUCGAAAAGAUUUGAGUGGCCUCGAUGAUGUGACACUUACCAGCCAAUCAGAAGGUGGAGGCUUCUCCAGUGAUAGUGAUCUGAUCUCUCUGACUGUUGAUGUAGACUCCCUUGCUGAAUUAGAUGAUGGAAUGGCAUCCAAUCAAAAUUCUCCCAGUAGAACUUUUGGUCUCAAUCUUUCUCCAGAACCUUCAGCACUUGGGGCUGUUGCUUCUGAUAAAGAAAAAAGCAAAACAGAAGAAGAAAAGGAAAGCCGUGUUCUCUUUGUUGGAAGCCUAAAAUCCAGACUUGGCAAAAAAGAUUAUUUGGAGAAGGCAGGAGAAUUAAUAAAGCAGGCUUUAAAGAAGGAGGAAGAGGAAGACUAUGAAGCUGCAUCUAGUUUUUAUAAGAGAGGAGUUGAUCUACUUUUAGAAGGUGUUCAAGGUGAGUCAAGCCCCACGCGUCGAGAAGCAGUGAAGAAACGGACAGCAGAGUAUCUAAUGCGUGCUGAGCAACUUUCUAGUUUUUAUUUAAAACCACAUCUUGGUGAUGGAGCAUCAUCCCAGCCUCCAGGAUCACUAAGUUCAAGGCCCUCUUGGAACCUAAGGAGCCCUGCCGAGGAACUGAAGGCCUUCAGAGUCCUUGGGGUGAUUGACAAGGUUUUGCUUGUAAUGGACACAAGGACACAGCAGACAUUUAUUUUAAAGGGUCUAAGGAAAAGCAGUGAGUACAGCAGGAACAGAAAGACCAUCAUCCCCCGCUGUGUGCCCAACAUGGUGUGUCUGCACAAGUACAUCAUCUCUGAGGAGUCUGUAUUUCUUGUUCUGCAGCAUGCAGAAGGUGGAAAAUUGUGGUCCUACAUUAGUAGAUUUUUAAAUCGAAGAUCAGAAGAAAGCCUUGACAUUCAGGAAGUUAAAAAGGCUACUCUUGCUGAAGUUCACCUGCAGCAGCCAACUCCUAGCCCUAAAGAUAGCAGCAGCUUUGAGUCCAGAGAAAGUGAUGGUGGCCACAUGCUCAAAGUUUUGCAGCUGAAGACUAGUCUUACACCGAGUUCCCAAGAGGACAGUAGCAACCAGGAAGAAGAUGGCCAAGAUAGCUCUCCAAAAUGGCCAGAUUCUGGCUCAAGUUCAGAAGAAGAAUGCACUACCAGCUAUUUAACAUUAUGCAAUGAAUAUGGGCAAGAAAAAAUUGAACCUGGGACCUUGAAUGAGGAGCCCUUGAUGAAGAUGAAGGGAAAUGGUGUUAGAACCAAAGAUACAGGAAUCUUACCAGCUCCUGUUGCUUCUGGCAGUGACAGCCUCAGCUCUCAGCUGACUUCUCAGGAACUAAAAUUUUUCACCGAAGAUGCCAACACUGAAGUAGUUAGUCUACCAAGAAUAUCAGAUUCUCUUAGUAGAUCAAAGAACAGCCCUAUGGCAUUCUUUAGGAUAGAUAGUAAGGAUAGCACUAAUGAAUUCCUUGGACUUGAUUUUGGUGAAAAGUUAUAUAGCUUGAAGUCAGAACCCUUGAAACCAUUUUUUGCUCUUCAAGAUCAGGACAGCAGUUCUGGGAGUCUUGAUGCUAGUGAAACUAGAUUGGGGUUAAAAGCUCAGGACACCAUCAGCAGGGGUUCAAAUGAUUCCGUCCCUGUUAUUUCUUUUAAAGAUGCUGCUUUUGAUGAUGUAAGUAGUACUGAUGAAGGAAGGCCUGAUCUUCUUGUCAAUCUGCCUGGUGUGUUGGAGCCAACAAAAGAAGCUGCAGCUGAAGGGCCUGCUCAGUUGACACAGACUAAUAUAGGCAUCUUAGAAAGUAAACUUUUAGAAGCUCCUGAUGUUUUAUGCCUCAAUCUUAGCACAGAACCAUGCCAAGGGCUUGAAGAAAAAGACACAGAGGCAUCGAAUGAUCCCUGUAGUCACCAAUUCCACAGUAUAGAAGAGAAACACUAUGCACAGGAGGGCACUAGGACACUACUUAUGGCUGCUGUUGAUCAAACUAGUUCAGGAGACAAGUCUUUGUUACUAAGUUCAGAUGCUGAGUUUAAAGGAUUUGGAAUGGUUGCUCCCACACUAACUGCAAAUAGCACAGAAGAAAGCUUAUUCCUUAUUUCUAAUCCAGUCUCAGGUGCUAAUGAAUACAAUGUAAACCCAGACACUUUAAAAAAAGAUGAAGUAUUGCUCUUUGCAGAUCGAGUUGAAGACCCUGGUAAAGAAGAGCCAACUCCUUUAUUCCAGCUAGACCCAAAAGACACUAAGGCUAAGGGCGACAGUGGAUUAGCACUAGAAGGAGAGAAGGAAAUACAUCAGAUUUUUGAGGACCUCGAUAAAAAAUUAGCACUAACCUCCAGGUUUUAUAUCCCAGAAGGCUGCAUUCAAAGAUGGGCAGCUGAAAUGGUGGUAGCCCUUGAUGCUUUACAUAGAGAGGGAAUUGUGUGCCGCGAUUUGAACCCAAACAACAUCUUAUUGAAUGAUAGAGGUCAGGAACUUUUGCAAAUGCAUUUCUUUUUAUUCGCUGUUGCUUCCAAUUAACUGAGUAGGCGUUUUAUCUUGUAAUUAGUAUCUUCAUUUCCUGUCUAGAGCUUCAUUAUCAGUGCAGCAAAUUCACCCCCAGUAAUAGCUUCUAGUACUUAAUGAUGCCAUUAUUCUUAAUGAUACUGUUUUUAGCUACAAAAGGAGUAAUUACAGUUCACUUCUGCAGAAAAUGGAAGGGAAAAAUGUUUUGAUUUCUCCUGUCGUUUUGUUUUUAGGACACAUUCAGCUAACGUAUUUUAGCAGGUGGAGUGAGGUUGAAGAUUCCUGUGACAGCGAUGCCAUAGAGAGAAUGUACUGUGCCCCAGGUUAGAGCAAUCACCUAAAAUGUUUCACUUGAAAAGUAUAUCUGGGGAAGGGAGAAGAGCGAGAGGACAGAGGUGGGACCUCCAGGCUGGAGCAAAGGGUAUUGGCUCAGCAUGGAGGGCAGAAUUGCUAUUAAUCCAGUAGCUGGUUGAAGUCUUUCCUGGAGCUAUUCAUUCCUGUGUUUCUGUUCUUGGUACUAUUGCCAGCUGCCCUUGAAGAAUGAAUGAGUCUUUGGUUAUACCAUACCUUGUCCUCUGUUUCUGGUAAAUGUUCUCAGUGGUCCCUUUUCUUAUCUCUAUCUAGUUGGACCAGGAUGGAUUUGAUUUUAAUUUAAAUCAGCCCCUAAACUUAAUUUAAUUAUUUUUACAUAAAAAGCAAAUGCUCAUUGUCUAUAUUCCCUCAGUAUAUAUUUUUCACAGCUUAGAAAUAUAGAAUUACAUUCUUCAUUUUAUAGAACGAAGGAGUUAAACUAGAUACUAUUUAAAGACCCUUCUGGUCGUUUCUGAAACUUCUCUCCUUUUGUCUCAUAGAGCUUUUAUAUUUCCCAGUUCUCUUUUGCUUGGAAUUAGUUUGUACAAAAACCAGUUUGGGAAAAAAAGCAAAAACUGUUGAACUAAAAAGUAUAUAAGCUUAUUUGUUUUUCUAUGAAAUUUACUUUUUAAUGUAGAAAAUACAGCUGACAUUUUAAAACUGAAGACCUUUUACAAAAUGCCUCAACUUUUUGAUCUUUAUAAGGGCCAUUGGGAAAUGCCCCAUGCCCCUUAUAAUAUGUUGGUUUCAAUAGUAAAUGCUAUUUAAUGAGAGUAAUGAGGGGAAAUGGACAAGACUCUGGGCAUUUAAAAAAAGCUGUUAAUAUGUGACAUUAAUGAUGUGCCAACUUGAUCUUUCAAAAUGGUUGAUUUAAAGUUAUAAUGUUUUUGCUUUGUUUGAAAUUUUAAGAGAACACAGAUAUUGUUGAUUUUUUAAAUCGGCCUGGUUAGUCAAAUAUUUGCUAUGUUAAGUUUCUCCUGUCCUCUCUAUACUAACCUUACUUUGAACAAUUAGAGAGUUGUUUGUGGUGUGUUAAAUCCUUUGCAAACAUAUGAAGAAGCUUAAGCACAUAAGUUGGCCUUGAGGUCAUGUUCCUUUCUAUCUGACAUUAGUGUAAAUAGGCCAGUCAGAAUCCAGGGGUCCUCUACCUUUUACCCAGCUUUUAACCUCUUUAGAUUGCUAAAGCUGCUUUGCUUGUCAUCAGCAGAAGCCUUGAAGGGAGACUCAAGUUGAUAAUAUUGGAAUGAUUAGCACUAUUAUUGAUUUUUCACUAUAUAAUAAUUACUAAAUGGAGUAGUCUUGACUUUCACAGUGUUUCAAUGGAGUUAUUGAAAAAUAUGAUAUAAAUACAGCUAAAAAGUUGUCUUUAAGGACAAAUUUGUUGUUAAGAUUAAGUCCUAUAUUUGAGAGCAGCAGAAUUUUUCAGUCUUAUAUGCAAAUGAUGUUAUUUUAUCAUGAUGAUAUUCAAUGAGUUUGAAUUUCUUUUUUUUUUUUUUAAUUUCCUUCUAGUUCUCUCAUCAUACCCCAAAUUAGUACAUUUGGGUAGCUGAACUUAGAGAGUAUAAUAAAUAUAAAUCCUUCCUCCAGUAGUUCAUGGUACCUUUUUUUGUGGUACCUUCUUUUGAAAUAUUAUUAGUGUGAGUCAGUUGAUGGGAGAACAAAAUUUCUUCAUAAUGUGGAUAUUUUUUAUCAAAUUACUUUUUAAAGCUUGUCUUUUUCUCUGUCUCUCUUUUUCUCUCUUUUACCCCUUCUCCCCCCUCUCUUGUUCCCCCUUCUUUUUCUUAUUUUGGCAAAGCACAAAUAACAUUAUGGGUAAAACUGUACAUUAAUAUUACAUAAUAACUGUAAUCAUUUAUGGAGAAGUAGCAGGGGAAUUUCAUUUUGAGGUGUUUCUUUUGAGUUAAAACUCAGGACUUAGCUGGAUGAGAAUUCCUGAAGCAGAGAGAUCAGCGCUAAAAGAGCAAUGUAUUAGGUGAAGUUUUGUUGAAUUUCCCUUUUUUAUGGAUACAGUGGUAUUCUUAAUUUUGGUUAAUGUUUUUCUUACUUCCUUAUUUUAUACAUUUGGUGUUAGAUCAGAAGAUUCAUUUCCUGCUAAUUUUCAUAUUUAUGAUGUCUCGACUAUGGAACCUACUUAUUUCAAGCAAAAUCAUACUGGGUUCCAUAAUAUAACUUCAGAUCUGUGUAAUAGUGUAUUGCAUUUGAUCCUGGGCAUUUUCUACAAUGUCCAUGUUAAGGCAACUUUCCCAAGAAAUGAUGUUUCUCAUAAUUCACCAGCAGGUGGCAUUCUACCAUUAAUGGAUUUUUGCUAUCAGCUUCUUUGGCUGCUGUCCUUUCCCCAGCAUUAGAUAAAAGCUGUAGACUGAAGAAAGGCUUUGUUGUAAUUAUUUGCAUAACAAGAAUUGUACUUUCAAGCUUUGUGAGUUUCAAAAUUGUUCUAGUAUCAUUGUGUGCAUUGACUAAUGUGGAAAGUCUCUCUACUUCUUGGGUGGAUUAGCAUUUUAAGUUAGGAGUGAAACAAAUAAAAAAAAGUCAAUGUGACUCAAAAUUAGUGCUAACAUUUUAAUUUGCUGAAACCAUAUUGUUGAGGAAUUCCAGUCAAAGAAUUCCAACUAUAUUUUUUAUAUUACAAGGAAAAAAGAAAACAGCUAUUACUGUUUCUUUUAUAAAUUGGCAAUAAAUAGUACUGAUGGCAGUCUCCCCAUUAUGUAUUAACAUUUAAAUUAUUAGUAAAUCAUAAAUCAAUAUAGUAUUUUAUUGUCUUUUUGUAGAAAAGAUUUUAAGAUUUCCCCCAAACCUUAUACCCUCAUUGUUAUUUUCUGAGUAUUUUUAAAGCAUGUUAAGCAGCUGAUGUUUGGUUAGAAAGUAAAGUUGUUACAAGAUUAUGAUGAGAAUGAUUCACUUCUGUUUAAACAGCCCUUUGCCCCUACUACCCCUGUAGCCCCUACCUUUCUCCCUCCUCCCUUCUGGGAAUCCUUAUCACAUAUUUGUCCUAAAAACACUAUCCACCUGUCCUGUACUUUAUAAUAUCAGCAAUGUAUCUUUUUAUCUUCUGGUUAAUGUGCCUUGGUAUUUUGAGAAAAAUUUCCAGUAACAGAUUCGAUUUACAUGGACAGAAACUUGAGCAAAUGCCAAACUAGCAGGGGGGCCAUUAUUCUGCUCUAUAAAUAAGUUUAAAAAAGAAACAAACACACACAGAAACCUGUGAAUCAACAUGUUUUGGUCUAAUUGGAGGGAAAAGCAAGAUAGAUAAAUUUUGAAAUGCAAAUGAUCACCUUCUGUUAUUUAAGUAUAAUUUUUGCCAACUUUGUGAUCUUAGAUUUAGAAAAGUCAUUGCCAUUUGAACAAUACAACAAUCACUUUUACACUGUCAAGGAGGUUGGAUAUUCACAAGUUUCUAAAAACUAAACAAAGAACUUUUUUCAAAAGUAUUGCCACUUUUUCUAUACUUAAAUUUUUUUUUUUACCAAACAACAAAAAGACAAAAAACCCACCAAGCUUUAUCAGUCUACAUCUGUGAAAAAGCCAGCACAUAAAUGGCUGCAGCUGCAGCCUUAUCAAGAGGGUCUGGAGCAUACGAAUUCACUGAUCAAACCCAGCCCUGUUUUCAAAGUGGAAACCACUCCUUUUAGGUUCUCUUUGUGUCCUUAGAUUAUCUAUUACAGUUCUCUAGAAAAGGUUUCAUUUCUGUGUCAUCGUGUGUGGGAAUAUGGGUCGCUUUCACACUGGGGCAACACAAAACCCAGGCCUGGCAGGGAGAGUAAAGAAAAGACACUCCUUGUAGAAGUGUCCCUGCAGAUAUGGCAACACAUGAUUCCAAUAUUAAGCAAACUAGAACCCUUUCCUCGGAUUCAUCCAGGUGAAUGACUAAAUAGAAAUGGAGAUAAAUUGGCUCUUUCUGAGAUUGGCUCUUUCUAUCAUCAUAUGGACUCCUUGAAACCCUUAUGAUUUUAUUUCUAUUUGUAUUUAUCUUACCAUAGGUGGGAGUUUUUAGGUGCUAAGCGAACAGUAACCAGUUAUCACAAUAGAGAGGCAUUCUUUGCUAAAGCUUUCUAAAGAUUCUUCCGACUAAGAGCAAAACAAGAGGAAGUACUUAUUUUUUUCUUACCAAUGUUUUUUCCCCCCACUUUAAAUAAUCUGAAUGUUGUACCAUAAGAAAAUAGCAGAAGAGUAGAAGGGCAUAUAAUGUUAAGCCUUUUAUAGUCAAAAUCUAUGCUAGCCAUGUAAAAUGCAGUCUGAGAAAGAUGAGUAAGGUUGUAUGUCCCACAGUUUUCAUGCUAUUUUAAAGCACUUAAACUCUUCUUUUUAUUCUUAAACAAGUUGAUAUAGUCCCCUGUACUCCCAUAAGUAUGUGUCCUUCACCUUCAUUUCCUACCCCUUUAUGAACCUUUGCAAAUGUACCCUGUAUAUUUCCUGCUUGAAAUUUAAAUGGAUAUUGCCAUUGAAAGCUUUCUAGAAUUAAGAAUUUGCAGGUAAAUGUCUGUUUAAAUUGAAGAAGUCCAAAAUGCUUCAUACCACAACCUGAUCUCCACGCUCCCAGAUGUCAGAUGACAGCUUCGCUCCCUUUCUUAGGCGAUUUCACACUAGGAAGCAGCUCACAGCUGACUGUGGAAAGCACAACAUGAAAAAUGCUGAAAACUGUCCGCAAAAUUGGGUUUUAGAGCAUGACAUUUAUUUUGCUGACAGCUUUUCCUCUGCCGUUCCUGUUUUACCAAAUAAUUUUUGAGUAUAUUUCUUUUAGAUAAUUUCCCUUGGUUCCUUCCUUCCUACUCCCCCCAAUAUCUAUAAUAUUAUGUGCAUUUUAUUUUAAGAAUAAGUGAUAGCUAUUCAUUUGAUAUUUAAGAACCAAAACAGAGAACAUGAAUCUCUUAAAGUUUUAUUGAACUAGUAUGUAGUUGCAUUAUUUAAAGUUCUGGAAGUUAUAAAAAUUGGAUUUUAGUCCCAUCUUUAUCACAGUCUCAUUGAAUAACCAUCAGGUAAGUUAUUCAGAUGUUGGGAACAUAGCUUUUCUGUAUAUAAACUAGGUGCUAUGUAGAUAAAUGAUGUAGUAAGUAGUCAGAUAAUUUAGCACCUUUCUGCUCAAAGUACAAUCAGAAUCCAAGUCCACCUUCUUAUUCUCUUCAGAUUGUCCCUUAAGAGUACAAAUCAUGAUUUCUGCUAUCACUGGGGUUAAAAGAGAUCAACUAAGUUGGCAGAAGGGAUGUUUUCAUGAUAUGGGCAUUAUAUUUAGACACAGAGCAUUAGUUUGUGGUAAUGAAGGAUUUAAAUAUCAACAAAAUGAUUAAGUACAAUUAAAUUUCAGCUCUAAACUUCUCUAAUGCUAUAUAGUUCCAAAGAUUUUUAUUCAUAUGGAAAAAGCUAAGAAUCUUCCAUUAUGUCGAGUGAAAAUUAAAUGCAAAGAAAAUUUUUGAGCUAGUAAGAGUCUGAAAAUUUAAUGAUAAUAAUUUAGUAAUUAAUAAUAAGUUAGUAAAGCAACUAACUUAAUAUGGGGAAAUAGGGUGAAAACAAAAGAGAUAUUUUGGAAUGAUACCAAUGUGGCUGGCAUGUAUUGGUAUCAGUAUUCAGUGGACUCACUGAAGUUUCAGGAACAAAAAAAGAGGGAAAAAGUUAAGAGGGAAGUACAGAAAACAUUAAAAUCUUUGUGGUUAAUAUUGAAAUAUUAUCUUGUACACAUGAACCCUCUUGUUUAGCCUAGCCUUAAGCAAAACUCAAGAGCUCUAUUAUACCAACUUUGAUGCUUUAGUGUUCUUAAUAACAACUCUUAAGAGCAAGGGCUAGACAAAUGGGGUUAAGUGACUUGCCCAGGGUCAUUCAGUUAGGAAGUAUCUGAGGCCAGAUUUGAACACAGGUCCUCUUUAAUGUUCUUUUAAAGGGAUUAGCACCUUAGUUUGUACUGUUUCUUACUUUUUGUCUCCCCUUCUCAUUGCUGUCCCAUGUCUUAACUCAGGAGUUUUUCUGAUUGCUACUUAAACAUAUUUAGUUAUUCCUCUGCAGGAAAAUAAAUGGUUUUCAACUAAGGCACUGAUCAUGAAAGAAUCUAUGAGGUUUAUGUUUUUGACACCUUGAAAAUUCUACAACAAAGUGAAGAUAAAGGAACUUCUUGUCUCAACCUGUCAAAGAGAUUUGGAACUAGAUGUGGCUCAGUAUUAGGCCACAUGUAGUAGGAAAAGAGGGUGUCCUAUUUCAGUUCCAAAACAUAUUUUGUCUGGUCACUUCCUGAGGAAAGUUUAUCAGAUGUAUCAGAUCUAGGAGUUUGAUUUCCCUCUAUCUGGGCAGUGAGGCCACAGGACUCAUGGGUUUGAACUUCAGGAUGUGUCCUGUAGUCAUCUUUCUUCAGAAAAGAAAUCCCCUAGUUUGGCAUUAACCUUGUACUAGACUGAUCAUCUCUCCCGCUAGUUAUUCUGUUAUAAAACAAACAUUCCUCCCAGUUCUUUCUCUUUCCCAUUUUGUUUUACACUUUCCAGUAUGGUCCAGAGUGAUUGGUGUCAAAUGGUAGGAAGAAAUGGGAAUUUUUUCCAUAGUAUCUGUUUAUAUGUCACACCAGCAUAAUCCAAGAAUAGUACCUCUUUGAUUGAAGAAAGGAGAAAAUUUACUCUGAGAUAUCUUUCAUGCAUGAAUUACUUUAAAUAUUUCCUUUUGUUGGUUUCUUCAGGGUUAAAUGUGUGUGUAGACUCAGAAUGCUUUCCUUUAAGGGAACCUGAAGUAAAGCACUUUUGUUCAUUUUCAUAAUAUUAUCACCUGACACUUUUAGGCGAAGUUUGCUUCAGCAUUAGAUUGUUAGGGGAAGAAAGAUUUAAUCCUUUCUAUUUACUGUAAACCUUUUUCUUUAAGAGCUAAGAAGAAUUCCUUCAUUCAAAAGAGAAACAGGGGAAUAGAUACUUGAAGCUUUAAAUAAUUGCCUCAGUGUGAAGCUUCCUACUUUUCAGACUUAAGCUGAUCUUAGAAGAUAGUCAGUGAACUUGCUUCACAGCUUUAUUGCUUUAAAAAACACCAUCACCACCAAAUAGUGAAGUAUUUCCUGCUUCUGAUAUUUUACAAGAAAAAUGCAAAGUGCUGAGUCUUAAACACUUGCUUACAAUCAUUGGCGAGAUGUAGUACUUGAUAUAUGUACCUUGCAAGAUCUUGUCCAUUAUAAACUUUGUGGAAUAAUUGGUGUUGACUCCUUUUAUCUACUUCUUUACACAUGCUUUUAAAUAGUAACAUAAGACAAAAUGCUAAAGUUAAAAAAAAAAUAGAUGGUGUCUGCAAAGCAAAUAGAAUUCCUAAAGCUGCUAUAAUAACCAUGUAUAUGUAGCACUAGCUGUGUGACUUGACUGAGAAAGAGUGGGGAAAGAAAGAGAGAAGGCACUGAGAAGAGAGAGAGAGAGGGGGAGAGAAGAAGGAAAAGGGUUGUGCUUCUUGUUUUUACAUUUUCUUUUAGCCUUUUUCUCAUCAGUCAUCUUUAAUGGUUUUGGUUGGGUAAUACUCUGACACCUGAUGACUCUUCAGAAUGGGGCUGUUGUGAUAUGAUCAAUGGAAAAUGAUGCAUGAUAUUAGUCUUUUUCCCACUAGAAAUUCAGGCUAAAGAAGAGAGAGUACAGAACUCAGAAUUAUCAUUAUAACCAGUCAACCAGAAGUCAUAUAGUAGUUAUCUUAUUUUUUAUUUCAUCUCAGAAGAUACCUAUGUCUUAAUGGUGCCUACAGAAUUCUGUGAAUAAGGAAAUCUUGUUUCUGAGAUACCAGAUCAAACUAAAUAAAAGAAUUUUGACUCAAAGUAGUUAAUUUCCAGGGAGCUCAAAACCAGCUUGUCAGGCUCAUUGUGACAAUUAGAAUCUUAAAAUUGGCCAGUGAAAAGAAAUCAAAAGCAGGUAUUUUGUCAAAUAUAACUAGCCUGCAUGAGGUUAGCAUAUACUAUGGACUUGAAUUCCCAGAUUUGGGGAGCUAAACUCCAGUAAUUCUCUUGUAUAUAGAGAGAGCUCAAAAAUUUCAGGCUUAAGUUCUCUAAUUGUAAGAUGAGAGUGUCAGGUGAGAUAACAUGGUGGGAUAGCCAUUGUUCUGGAAUCCAAGGUGAGCAAAGGAAGUGAAUCAGGCGAGAGCAUAGAGCUCCUUCUGCAUUCCUUUUAGACAAGAGAGGUGGCAGGUACUGAUGACCAAGGUUUUUUGCCUUUCAAAAAAAAAAAAGGUUAGUUGAUUCCUUUUGUUUUGAUAUCAUAAUCAUUUAUGGAAAAAUCCCUCUUCCUCUCCCUCCCCUAGAAAUCUUUCUUUGUAAUAAAAAACAAUUGAACAGAAACACCCAUUAUAGUAACCACUUCUGAAAACAUUCUAUCUUACUAGUUCCCUACCUUUCUGCUAUGAGCAGGGGUGUAUGUUUAAUUAUCUGUUCUCUGGGAUCAUUUUGGUUUUCCAGUUAACUUGGAGUUUGACUUAGUAUGUGUAUAUUUUCCUUUUGGCUUUGCUUGAAUUAUUCUAUAUCCAUUCAUAUACAUCUUCACACGGUUUUUUGAAUUUCUUUCAUAUGUUAAUUUAUUUUACCUCUUAUAAAAGGAAGUAUGAUGUUUUCAAUAGAGAGGUUUACUUUAAGUUAGAGUUUGAGUUUGGAUCUUUUCCCAGACACUGACUAGCUGUGUGACCUUAGGCAAGUUACCUAACACUCCUCAGUUUAGGUUUCAUCAGCUGUAAAAUAAGGUUGAUGAUAAUAGUAUCUACUUCAUGGAGUUAUAGUGAGGAGCAAAUGAAAUAAUAUACAUAAAGCACUUUACAAAACCUUGAAGUACUACAUAAACACAAGCACAACAGUUUUUGGAGCCAUUUCCCAAUCAGUUGGCACAUACCUUUUUCUAGGUCUUUGCUACCACAAAGAGUGCUACUAUGAAAAUAUGAUGUAUAUUGGGCUUUCAUUUUUAUCUUUUACCCUCUUGAGAUAUAUACCUCAGGGUCGGCAUAAACUUUUCUUUCACAAUUCUAAAUUGAUAUCUGGAAUGUUUUAAGCAAUUCUUAGCUCUACCAAUAGGUUGUAUUUGUGUGAUUGCCUUUCCACAUCCCUACAAAAACACUGACCAAUCCCUAUUUUUUGUUAUCUUUGCUAAUUUUCAGGGUUUGAGGUAACAUUUAAGAUAUGUUUUAAUUUGCUUUACUAUUAGUGAUUUGUAGCCUAUUUUUCAUUUAGACAUAAAAAAAAAAAACCUUACCUUCUGUCUUAGAAUCAAUACUGUGUAUUAUCAGAAGAGUGGUAAGGGCUAUGCAAUGGGAUUUAAAUGACUUGUCCAGGAUCACACAGCUAGGACGUGUCUGAGGCCAGAUUUGAAUGUAGGACCUCAGCUCUAGAUCUGGCUCUCAAUCCACUGAACCACUUGGCUGCCCCCUCAUUUAGACAUUUCUAGUUUGUAAUUCUUCUUUUGAAAAUUGUCAAUAUCUUUUGAACACUACAAGUAGUGGGAACAUUUUGAUGCUUAUGCCUUCUUUCUCUGUGUUUGUGCUGCUAGCCUGAGCUAAUAACUAUAAUGAAGAUAUGGUGCGAACUUUUAAGCACCUCAUAUGUCCCUACCAUGUUGCACAGCAUUUAAGUAGUCAAUGAAGUGUUUGAAUCAAGCACAUAUAAAGAAAGCAUUCAAGAACAUUGUAUACUAUUGAACAGAUGUCAUCAUUUUGUAUAAUAAUCAAGAGGGAGAAAAAAACAAGUCUCUCCACUUCAGGAAUGAUAAGAGCCCCAAACUAGCUUAUGUGUAAUUAUUGCAGAAGAAUAUGAAUAGGGAAGAUAAGAUAAAGAAGCUUUAUUCUCUAGUUAGAAUAAUAGUGAGAGAAUUAAGAAUUUUCCUGGAGGUUGCUAUGAGGCCUGAAAUGAGUCCUUUCUGCCAUUCCCCUCAUUUGUAGCAUAGGACAUUCACAAAACCAUAUUUAAUUUUAAUAUCUUAUAAACUUUUUUUUUAAACCCUUACCUUCCAUCUUGGAAUCAAUACUGUGUAUUGGUUCCAAGGCAGAAGAGUGGUAAGGGCUAGGCAAUGGACGUUAAGUGACUUACCUAGGGUCACACAGCUGGGAAGUGUCUGAGGCCAGAUUUGAACCUAGGACUUCCCAUCUCUAGACUUGGCUCUCAAUCCACUGAACUACCCAGCUGCCCCCAGAUCUUAUAAACUUUUAACCUUUCACCUUUAGUAAUUUGAUUGUAGCAGCUGUAGAAAAUUCUAUAAAUGACAGUCAAAGACAUUGAUUUGUUUUCUCCUCACAGGUCAUUUCUAUUUGCUAUAGGAUGCAAUAUUUAAAAAAAAAAGUCAGAGCCUUUCUCAGGCUAUGAUGAGCACUUUUUUUUUUUCCAUCACAGGAAGAACACGAUGAAUGCUGUGCUACAAUGUCUUUUCCCAAAGUUUAAUGAAUUUUAUGGAAAGAAUGGAGUCAGAAGAGGUUGGAGCAAUUACCGAAGAAACAGAAGCCUGUGAUUGGUGGAGUCUGGGUGCUGUCCUCUUUGAACUUCUCACUGGCAAG